AUGCGGGCCCUGUACGAUGGGGCCGCUGUGAACCAGGUCAGGUGGGGAACCAAGCAGCCUUAAGCGG
rnacentral:SRP_RNA from 1 species